GACGAACGCUGGCGGCGUGCUUAACACAUGCAGGUCGAACGGAAAGGCCCUGCUUUUGUGGGGUGCUCGAGUGGCGAACGGGUGAGUAACACGUGAGUAACCUGCCCUUGACUUUGGGAUAACUUCAGGAAACUGGGGCUAAUACCGGAUAGGAGCUCCUGCUGCAUGGUGGGGGGUGGAAAGUUUCGGCGGUUGGGGAUGGACUCGCGGCUUAUCAGCUUGUUGGUGGGGUAGUGGCUUACCAAGGCUUUGACGGGUAGCCGGCCUGAGAGGGUGACCGGCCACAUUGGGACUGAGAUACGGCCCAGACUCCUACGGGAGGCAGCAGUGGGGAAUAUUGCACAAUGGGCGGAAGCCUGAUGCAGCAACGCCGCGUGCGGGAUGACGGCCUUCGGGUUGUAAACCGCUUUCGCCUGUGACGAAGCGUGAGUGACGGUAAUGGGUAAAGAAGCACCGGCUAACUACGUG
rnacentral:rRNA from 1 species